UGUGGCGCAUGCAAAAGCGCUGCGACUUUUCAUGGAUACUUUGCUGCCGGUGUUGGAGCUAGGGUGGAACUUCUUGCCAUGGCCGCUCUGUUUGGGCUUAUUUGUGUGUCCCUUCUGUUGUUGGCCUGCUUGUGUUUUUCUCCUCAAAGUGGUUUCAAAGAAGAUGCAUCAAGUAGCUACCCCAGGAUACUGGAUCCACAAGCCUUCACCCAGGAUCAGGACUCUGUUGCUCAAAACCAUGGCACAGAUGAUGAGCGACACCAGAGCUUAGUUCCCCAAGCCA